rnacentral:rRNA from 1 species
GCAUGAAGUCGGAAUUGCUAGUAAUCGCGGAUCAGCAUGCCGCGGUGAAUACGUUCUCGGGCCUUGUACACACCGCCCGUCACACCAUGAGAGUUGGGGAUACCCGAAGCCUAUGAGCUAACUUUUAGAGGCAGUAGUCGAAGGUAGAAUCAAUGAUUGGGGUGAAGUCGUAACAAGGUACC